UGGGGUUGUGGCUCAGAGGUAGAGCACUUGCCUAGCAUGCAUGAGGCACUGGGUUUGAUCCUCAGCACCACAA
rnacentral:tRNA from 1 species